rnacentral:rRNA from 1 species
AUUGAACGCUGGCGGCAUGCCUAACACAUGCAAGUCGAGCGAGCGGCGGACGGGUGAGUAAUGUCUGGGAAACUGCCUGAUGGAGGGGGAUAACUACUGGAAACGCUAGCUAAUACCGCAUCCCAUCAGAUGUGCCAAGAUGGGAGUAGCUAGUAGGUGGGGUAACGGCUCACCAAGGCAACGAUCCCUAGCUGGCCUGGGCGGAUGACCAGCCACACGGGAACUGAGACACGGUCCAGACUCCUACGGGAGGCAGCAGUGGGGAAUAUUGCACAAUGGGCGCAAGCCUGACGCAGCCAUGCCGCGUGUGUGAAGAAGGCCUUCGGAUUGUAAAGCACUUUCAGCGGGGAGGCGUUACCCGCAGAAGAAGCACCGGCUAACUCCGUGCCAGCAGCCGCGGUAAUUC